rnacentral:tRNA from 1 species
GCCCCGGUGGCACAAUCGGUUAGCGCGCCGUACUUAUAAUGCGGAGGUUAUGAGUUCGAGCCUCACCCGGGGCA